rnacentral:rRNA from 1 species
GACGAACGCUGGCGGCGUGCUUAACACAUGCAAGUCGAACGGUAAGGCCCUUCGGGGUCCACGAGUGGCGAACGGGAGAGUAACACGUGGGUGAUCUUCCCUGCACUUCGGGAUAAGCCUGGGAAACUGGGUCCAAUACCGGAUAGGACCCAGGGAUGCAUGUAACCGGGUGGGAAGCAUUUGCGGUGUGGGAUGGGCCCGCGGCCUAUCAGCUUGUUGGGGGGAUGAUGGCCUACCAAGGCGACGACGGGUAGACGGCCUGAGAGGGUGACCGGCAACACUGGGACUGAGAUACGGCCCAGACUCCUACGGGAGGCAGCAGUGGGGAAUAUUGCACAAUGGGCGCAAGACUGAUGCAGCGACGCCGCGUGAGGGAUGACGGCCUUCGGGUUGUAAACCUCUUUCAGCACCGACGAAGCGCAAGUGACGGUAGGUGCAGAAGAAGGACCGGCCAACUACGUGCCAGCAGCCGCCGCCG